GGGAAACUGACGCUAAUACCGGAUGAUGACGWAAGUCCAAAGAUUUAUCGCCCAGGGAUGAGCCCGCGUAGGAUUAGCUAGUUGGUGAGGUAAAGGCUCACCAAGGCGACGAUCCUUAGUUGGUCUGAGAGGAUGAUCAGCCACACUGGGACUGAGACACGGCCCAGACUCCUACGGGAGGCAGCAGUAGGGAAUAUUGGACAAUGGGGGCAACCCUGAUCCAGCAAUGCCGCGUGA
rnacentral:rRNA from 1 species